CGUAGGGUGCGAGCGCUAAUCGGAAUUACUGGGCGUAAAGCGUGCGCAGGCGGUUUGGUAAGACAGAUGUGAAAUCCCCCGGGCUUAACCUGGGAAUUGCAUUUGUGACUGCCCGGCUAGAGUGUGUCAGAGGGGGGUAGAAUUCCACGUGUAGCAGUGAAAUGCGUAGAUAUGUGGAGGAAUACCGAUGGCGAAGGCAGCCCCCUGGGAUAACACUGACGCUCAUGCACGAAAGCGUGGGGAGCAAACAGGAUUAGAUACCCUGGUAGUCCACGCCCUAAACGAUGUCUACUAGUUGUCGGGUCUUAAUUGACUUGGUAACGCAGCUAACGCGUGAAGUAGACCGCCUGGGGAGUACGGUCGCAAGAUUA
rnacentral:rRNA from 1 species